rnacentral:rRNA from 1 species
CAGUCGCCGCGGUAAUACGUAGGGUGCAAGCGUUAAUCGGAAUUACUGGGCGUAAAGCGUGCGCAGGCGGUUAUAUAAGACAGAUGUGAAAUCCCCGGGCUCAACCUGGGAACUGAAUUUGUGACUGUAUAGCUAGAGUACGGCAGAGGGGGAUGGAAUUCCGCGUGUAGCAGUGAAAUGCGUAGAUAUGCGGAGGAACACCGAUGGCGAAGGCAAUCCCCUGGGCCUGUACUGACGCUCAUGCACGAAAACGUGGGGAGCAAACAGGAUUAGAUACCCCGGUAGUCCCUGUCUCUUAUAC